rnacentral:rRNA from 1 species
UUUAAGCAUAUCACUCAGUGGAGGAACAGCAAGCAACUGCGAUUGCUUCAGUAACGGCGAUUGAACAGGCAAGGAAAGGGCUCAGCCCGGACGUGAGUUCCCUGUCUGGGGCCGUCCCCCGUGCGCGGGUGGACCCCCACGAUCGGCUAUCAUGGAAUCUCGGCAGAUGCUGUGGGCUAUGGAGCGGCCGGCUGCGCCGUUCGGCGACUGUGGCACCGGGAAUAGCCCUGGAAUGGGCAGCAACGGAGGGCGACGGCCCCCUACGGAGGAACGUGUGCCACGGUAUGCCCGGACGGUGUGGCCGGUCGCAUCCAGGAGUAGAGCUGUUUGGGACUGCAGUUUGAAGCGGGAUGUGUAUCCAUCCCAAGGCAGAAUACAGACCUGAGACCGAUAGCGCACAAGUAGAGUGAUUGAAGGAUGCAAAGAACUCAGCGAAGAGGGUUAAAAGUCCCUGAAGCCUCGGCAGGAAUGGCGGUGGAUGGUGCUGUGGAUGUGAUCGUGCCUCGCCACGGCGGGAACGGCCCCAGGAAUGGGUGCCCCGCCCCGACGUGCGCGACGGCGCUCUCCUUUGCUCCAGGCGGCCUUGGGCCAGCCUCUCGGACCGGCCACUGAGCCUCCGCCCCCAGGCGGAGAUGUAAUCGUGGUAUCCGGAGGUGGUACGCAGCCCGACCGGGCCCGAGGUCUGCGGAAGUGCGACAGGCGAGGAGCGGGACACACUCCCCUCUCUCAAACGGUGUGAUCAGACACGGCAUACAAAAACCUGGCCCGUCUCCGGACAGGGCCAGUCACCGGGCCCCGGUGCACAAGCUGGACCCAGGGUCCUGGCGCCCCGCGGUGACUGCACCAUGCUCCAUGGUGGUCGCCCGGGGACCGCCGACCCUCCAGUCGGGGCUCGGUGCAGAAGGCAGCGAACGGCUUGGCGACGCUCCCCCCGCGGGGGUGUGCCAGCGCCAUCCACUGCCCGUCUUGAAACACGGACCAAGGAGUCUAUGGAGCUUGCCAAGGGUUGUCUGGCUCGCCAUAAGCCUUCCGGGGCACGGUGAAAGCAACAGCCAUCCCGGAUGUGCGCGGCAAUCGGCACUGCAAGGGACACCGGGCCCGCAGUCCGGCGGACAGGGUUUUGAGUGCUUGCAAGGUCCAUGGGACCCGAAAGGUGGUGAACUAUACCAUUCCACACCGAAGCCAUGGGAAACUGUGGUGGAAGGUGGUAGCUGUUCUGACGUGCAAAUCGUGUAGCUCUGAGAGUGGCAUAGGGGUGAAAGGCCAAUCGAACCACCUAGUAGCUGGUUCCCUCCGAAGUUUCCCUCAGGAAUAGCA